AUGCAGUUGCCGGCAUGGGCGUUGAAGAUUAUUAACAAGAGGUGUCGGGGCUUCUUAUGGAAGGGCGACAAUGAUAUUAAUGGGGGACACUGUCUCUUGCCAUGGUCACGGGUAUGCAUGCCCAAAGAAUAUGGGGGCCUGGGUGUUUUGAAUCUUAAAUGGUUCGGGUACGCCCUUUGUUGUCGCUGGCCGUGUCUGCGAUGGGAGGCGGAAGAGAGGCCAUGGAGCCUGCUGCCAGAUGAGAUGGAAAAGGAAAUGUCUUCCAUGUUUAAAACAACCACGGUAAUAUGCCUAGGAAACGGUCAAAGGGCCAAGUUUUGGACUGACAAAUGGCUGCCAGGUGGGUGCUCCAUUGAUGAGAUGGCCCCUGCCUUGUUCUCCUUUGUCAAUGACGCUGGUCGCUCGGUGAAAGAAGCCCUUGACAAUGGAGCCUGGAUAAGGGAGAUCUCGGGAGGCAUUUCAGCAUAG
rnacentral:rRNA from 1 species